rnacentral:lncRNA from 10 species
ACCGACCAGCCCAAGAAACAUCUCACCAAUUUCAAAUCCGCGGCCAGGCGUUCCUCCAGAACCUCCUCCCACAGGAGCUUGCUACACGUGCCGGAAAUCUGGCCACUGGGCCAAGGAAUGCCCGCAGCCUGGGAUUCCUCCUAAGCUACGUCCCAUCUGUGUGGGACCCCACUGAAAAUCGGACUGUUCAACUCACCUAGCAGCCACUCCCAGAGCCCCUGGAACUCUAGCCCAAGGCUCUCUGACUGACUCCUUCCCAGAUCUUCUCGGCUUAGCGGCUGAAGACUGACACUGCCCGAUCGCCUCAGAAGCCCCCUAGACCAUCACGGAUGCUGAGCUUCGGGUAACUCUCACAGUGGAAGAUUGUCUUACAGGUGGGCCAGUAUGUACAACCUAACACUGAGUUUUCAAGGAACAAGUUUCUGUUGCUGCUGCUCUAGCAUUCAUGCACUGUGGAGCCCGGAAACUUCUCGGGACAAGGAGCACAAUGCCAGGCCUUGUCGAGGGCCGCUGCAGUGGAGAGGCCAGACCGGGGGUGCCAGAGCCAACCGCAGACCAAGGAAGUGAACCCUGCACAUCCGGAUACUUGAAAUGUCAGCUUGUGGAGGAUCUCCCGCAGGAAUCUGACUUUAUACACAAACAAAGACAUUGAGCUUUCUGCUGAGGUGAGCUCAGAACGGAUGAACUUAGUCUUCUCUGCAGUGAUGCAAGCCUCUGUCAUGUGGAAGUUACAGACGAUGCUAGUGAAAUGUGGAUGGUCUCCUGGCCCACUGCAUCAUGCAAGAGGGCUGCUU